rnacentral:rRNA from 1 species
CUGGUCUGAGAGGAUGACCAGCCACACUGGGACUGAGACACGGCCCAGACUCCUACGGGAGGCAGCAGUGGGGAAUUUUCCGCAAUGGGCGAAAGCCUGACGGAGCAAGACCGCGUGAGGGAGGAAGGCUCUUGGGUUGUAAACCUCUUUUCUCUGGGAAGAAGCUCUGACGGUACCAGAGGAAUCAGCAUCGGCUAACUCCGUGCCAGCAGCCGCGGUAAUACGGAGGAUGCCAGCGUUAUCCGGAAUUAUUGGGCGUAAAGCGUCCGUAGGUGGCCCUUCAAGUCUGCCGUUAAAACCAGUAGCUUAACUACUGAAUAGCGGUGGAAACUGAAGAGCUAGAGUGUGGUAGGGGUAGAGGGAAUUCCCAGUGUAGCGGUGAAAUGCGUAGAGAUUGGGAAGAACACC